GACGAACGCUGGCGGCGUGCCUAAUACAUGCAAGUAGAACGCUGAAGGAGGAGCUUGCUUCUCUGGAUGAGUUGCGAACGGGUGAGUAACGCGUAGGUAACCUGCCUGGUGGCGGGGGAUAACUAUUGGAAACGAUAGCUAAUACCGCAUAAGAGUAGAUGUUGCAUGACAUUUGCUUAAAAGGUGCAAUUGCAUCACUACCAGAUGGACCUGCGUUGUAUUAGCUAGUUGGUGGGGUAACGGCUCACCAAGGCGACGAUACAUAGCCGACCUGAGAGGGUGAUCGGCCACACUGGGACUGAGACACGGCCCAGACUCCUACGGGAGGCAGCAGUAGGGAAUCUUCAGCAAUGGACGGAAGUCUGACCGAGCAACGCCGCGUGAGUGAAGAAGGUUUUCGGAUCGUAAAGCUCUGUUGUAAGAGAAGAACGAGUGUGAGAGUGGAAAGUUCACACUGUGACGGUAUCUUACCAGAAAGGGACGGCUAACUACGUG
rnacentral:rRNA from 1 species